UUAGGGUUUCACGCAGAGACACUGAGACACACUCACACACCGCACUCUCUCCUCUCUCUAGUCACAUGGCUGCUGCCGCUGUCGCUCGGCGUCUCCCUUCUCCAGACUCUCCCACCGGCUCUUUGUCUCUCUUACGACAGAUCGACCUAAUCGACUCUCUAAUUUGUCAUUUCCCCUUACAAAUCUGGUCUAUUUGUGUACAAAUCUAGAUUCUCCUUUGCCCUUAGACAGCUAAGGGAUCUUCUCUGUAAAUCUUUUUUGUUGUGUAUGUUUGCAAUUUUUUGAAAAGGUGUUUGUUGGGUCUCAUCUUUCUACAACAAUAUUACUGCUCCUAUUUUUUUUUAAUCAAAAUUCCUACCAUUCCUCAAAUGGGUGAGUUCCACAGUGAGACUCAGGUGGUAGAAAUUUCAGUAAAGGGGGCGGGAUCUCUUAACAUUUUGGUUAUAUACAAGAACUAUUAUUUUUAGUUGAUUGAAUUAUUUUAUUUUGUUAUUUUCGAAAAGUAUAUACAAUAUAUUUGAAGUCUUAGCACUGAAAUUAUCAAUUUCUUUCCAUAUAUUAUGAUUCAUUUUCAAUUGCUUUCAAUAUCUUUAUUUUUUGGUGUGGAUGUUGUUUCAAAAAAAAAAAAAAAAAAA